rnacentral:lncRNA from 1 species
UAAAAAUAGUGUGGACAAAAAACACGACACUUAAUGUGGCGUCUUUUUGGCUACACAAGUUGUGUACUUCAAGGCUACACUUGUGCGCUUUAAAGCCACACUUGUAAUUAUGAAAUUAAACUUCAUUAUAUGCGUAAAAAAAACCACACUUUGUGUUGCACUUUCUUGGAUUCUCGUAUCGAAUUAUUUGGAAAAGAGGCUAGAAUCAUGUUUUUAGCUACAUGUUUUUUUUUAUGAACCAUUUACAAUUUUACUGAAAAUUUCAGUGUAACUUUUAUUGCUGCAUGGUAAUUUUAAACACAUACAUGGUUAACUUUUUCAUAAAGAAAUAUUUGGUUUGUAAUAUUUUAGUAAUAUCGUAUUAAAUAUGUUAAGCGAGGAAAAUAUUGAUUUUCAGUUGUUAAAAAUUAGAAGAUGCAACUUUGCUUACAUUUAAGGCGCUCCCUUUUCUUAUGAUAGCACCUCUACAGAAAGGCAAGAAGAGUCCAAGAAUGGAUCUUAAUGCAAUUUUGGCUUUAUUUUAUAGAGAAAUGGAUGUACACCUCAGUUUUGAAAGCUCCCUUGAGUUAUUGAAGAAGGAGAAAGUUUUUCUACUGAUUUUAUUCAAAUGUUGCGGCACUCUAUAAUUCAAAUUAUAACUCUAAUUAUAAGUCGAUAAUACAGCUAUACGGUUGGAAGCCAUACCGAGUAUUAGAUUUGCUUUUGAGUUGCUGCUAGUCUCUUAUUAUGUAUUUAAUGUCAAUUUUCCUCAUGAACUUAUUUGUGUAUAUGGAUUUAUGGGAAAUUUGCUUGGAAUAAACAGCAAAAGAAUUAUCGUCAAUUCCUUUUAAAGAAAGUAUUGCCAAAAGUUUAAGCAAUAUGUUUGUGAAACGAAAAAGUAUUUUUAUCACUUUCUUGUUUAUUUUUGUUAUAUCGUCAGCCGAGAACCAAGAGGCCGUAUGUUUUUUUUUGUGUUUCCAAGAAAAUCAAGUUUUAAAUUUUAAUUCGCGAAGACUUUCUUCCAGAAAAUUCGACUGAUUAUUUAAAUAUUUCCUAAAAUUUUAUUGUUGUGGUAUAUUUAUGGAACACAUACUCUUGAAUAUUUAUUGAUAAUGGACAAAAAAAAAAAAAAUGUUGACAUACGGUUCUUCUCUGACGGCGGUAUCUAUUUUUCAAAGUUUUAACUCGCUUUUGCAUAUAAAUGUUUUAAGACUUGUCUUUAAUUUAAUAUUCACUGAAUUGAGUUUGAACUGAGUUUAUAUACUUAAAAGAAAUACUAUAACAAUGCAUUGACUCGGAAUUUAAAUAAAAUUUAUAUUUCAGUUUUUAUUAUUUUAUUGUGAUGUCGUUCCGUCAUUUCUUAUAAGCCAAUAUAAUAUACAUGUGUAAUUUAGUAUAUGACUCUAAAUGACAAUGUGUAAUUUAGUAUAUGAUAUAAAUAGCAUUCUUAAUUU